rnacentral:rRNA from 1 species
GAUUAGAGUUUGAUCAUGGCUCAGAUUGAACGCUGGCGGCAUGCCUUACACAUGCAAGUCGAACGGCAGCGCGGGAGCAAUCCUGGCGGCGAGUGGCGAACGGGUGAGUAAUAUAUCGGAACGUGCCCAGUAGUGGGGGAUAGCCCGGCGAAAGCCGGAUUAAUACCGCAUACGACCUGAGGGUGAAAGCGGGGGAUCGCAAGACCUCGCGCUACUGGAGCGGCCGAUAUCAGAUUAGCUAGUUGGUGGGGUAAAGGCCUACCAAGGCAACGAUCUGUAGUUGGUCUGAGAGGACGACCAGCCACACUGGGACUGAGACACGGCCCAGACUCCUACGGGAGGCAGCAGUGGGGAAUUUUGGACAAUGGGCGCAAGCCUGAUCCAGCAAUGCCGCGUGCAGGAAGAAGGCCUUCGGGUUGUAAACUGCUUUUGUCAGGGAAGAAAUCUUCUGGGCUAAUACCCCGGGAGGAUGACGGUACCUGAAGAAUAAGCACCGGCUAACUACGUGCCAGCAGCCGCGGUAAUAAU